AAUGAGAUAAUCGGAUCUUACCUGAUGAUGAUGAUGAUGAUGGUAAGGUCAUGAACCUUUGUCCAUGCAUUGUGUGUGUGUGAACAAAAUUCAGGUGUACAAAAACGAAACGAAAGCGAAAUUGGAAUAUUCUCAGCAAUUAUGUAAUAAUGAAUGAAGAAAAGGUAAAAAGGUGACACGUGACCAUUUGAUACUUUGGUUAAUCGAUACUUAUAGGGUGUGUCAAUGGCAACAACAAUAAAGAGAAAACUCCGCCCAUUUCCCGCAUCAUCAUUAUCAUCAUGGAUGGUUGAAUCAACUAUUUCGACACACAGGUAAAGGAAUUUUCGAAAUCGGAUCCUCAUCAUCAUCACCACCACCACCUGAAGCUCGUGUGCUUUUUUUGCCCAUUUAUCAAAGCAUCAAGCAUCAUCAUCCACGACCAAAUGUUCAAAGGUCAAGAAACUUUUUUGAUUCUUCAACAUUACCCUCAUAUCACAUAUACGCUCAA